rnacentral:rRNA from 1 species
NUGACGCUGGCGGCAGGCCUAACACAUGCAAGUCGAGCGGAAACGAUGGAAGCUUGCUUCCAGGCGUCGAGCGGCGGACGGGUGAGUAAUGCAUAGGAAUCUGCCCGGUAGUGGGGGAUAACUUGGGGAAACCCAAGCUAAUACCGCAUACGCCCUACGGGGGAAAGCAGGGGAUCUUCGGACCUUGCGCUAUCGGAUGAGCCUAUGUCGGAUUAGCUAGUUGGUGAGGUAAUGGCUCACCAAGGCCGCGAUCCGUAGCUGGUCUGAGAGGAUGAUCAGCCACAUCGGGACUGAGACACGGCCCGAACUCCUACGGGAGGCAGCAGUGGGGAAUAUUGGACAAUGGGCGAAAGCCUGAUCCAGCCAUGCCGCGUGUGUGAAGAAGGCCCUCGGGUUGUAAAGCACUUUCAGUGAGGAAGAACGCUUGUGGGUUAAUACCCUGCAAGGAAGACAUCACUCACAGAAGAAGCACCGGCUAACUCCGUGCCAGCAGCCGCGGUAAUACGGAGGGUGCGAGCGUUAAUCGGAAUUACUGGGCGUAAAGCGCGCGUAGGCGGCUUGAUAAGCCGGUUGUGAAAGCCCCGGGCUCAACCUGGGAACGGCAUCCGGAACUGUCAGGCUAGAGUGCAGGAGAGGAAGGUAGAAUUCCCGGUGUAGCGGUGAAAUGCGUANAGAUCGGGAGGAAUACCAGUGGCGAANGCGGCCUUCUGGACUGACACUGACNCUGAGGUGCGAAAGCGUGGGUUAGCAAACAGGAUNANAUACCCUGGUAGUCCACNCCGUAANCNAUGUCGACUAGCNGUGGGGUC